rnacentral:rRNA from 1 species
GAUGAACGCUAGCGGCAGGCUUAACACAUGCAAGUCGAGGGGUAGAAGUUACUUGUAACUUUGAGACCGGCGCACGGGUGCGUAACGCGUAUGCAACCUACCUUUUACAGGGGGAUAGCCCAGAGAAAUUUGGAUUAAUACCCCAUGGUAUAAUUGAAUGGCAUCAUUUGAUUAUUAAAGUUCCAACGGUAAAAGAUGGGCAUGCGUCCUAUUAGCUAGAUGGUAAGGUAACGGCUUACCAUGGCUACGAUAGGUAGGGGUCCUGAGAGGGAGAUCCCCCACACUGGUACUGAGACACGGACCAGACUCCUACGGGAGGCAGCAGUGAGGAAUAUUGGACAAUGGGCGCAAGCCUGAUCCAGCCAUGCCGCGUGCAGGAAGACGCAUCUAUGGUGUGUAAACUGCUUUUGUACGGGAAGAAACACCCCUUCGUGAAGGGACUUGACGGUACCGUAAGAAUAAGGAUCGGCUAACUCCGUGCCAGCAGCCGCGGUAAAAC